rnacentral:lncRNA from 1 species
GUGAGGCUGAUCUGUGAUGUUUGUCAUCCCAUUGCUCAUGAGGGUUGAUUUGACUGGCCUAGCUGGCUAGAAUUCUCUCUUCCCCACACUUCAGGGAGCAUCCCUCCCAAAACUGGGGUCAUUUCUGAAAGUAUGACCUUUUCACCAAGAGGCAGCUGUCCUUUGGUCAAGUAUAAACGUGGCCAUUCUUCUCUUUUUAAGACCUC